UUUCCGUAGGUGAACCUGCGGAAGGAUCAUUCAUAAUAAAGUGUUUUAUGGCACUUUUUAAAAAUCCAUAUCCACCUUGUGUGCAAUGUUAGAUCUCGUCAAUCUUGGCGAGAUUUUUAUACAUCAACUCAUUCUUUAACUAAUUUGUCUGAAAAAUAUUAUGAAUACUUAAUUCAGAAUACAACUUUCAACAACGGAUCUCUUGGCUCUC
rnacentral:misc_RNA from 1 species